CUUAAAUUGAAGAGUUUGAUCAUGGCUCAGAUUGAACGCUGGCGGCAGGCCUAACACAUGCAAGUCGAGCGGAAACGACACUAACAAUCCUUCGGGUGCGUUAAUGGGCGUCGAGCGGCGGACGGGUGAGUAAUGCCUAGGAAAUUGCCUUGAUGUGGGGGAUAACCAUUGGAAACGAUGGCUAA
rnacentral:rRNA from 2 species